AGUGUAAUAUAUGCUUAAAUGUUUAUUAUUUAUCACUAAUAUUAUUAGAUUGGUGAUUAAAAUAUAUAAGCUUUAAUUUAACCAUUUUAUGUCAUACCUAACAUGGCUAACAUUAAAAUUUUUUUAAAAUAGUAUAAUAUCAUAGCCAAUAGGUAUUAGAAUUCAAUUAUAUUUAAAGAUAUAAGCAUGUAUAUUAUUUACGGCCACACGUCAUGCCUUUCAUAUAAAUUCAUAAGCAACAAUUGUAAAAAGUAUUAUAGACUUAACAAUCGUUUUGAACCAACGACUGAAGCAACGAAAAGUAGGUAUAAAUGCACAAUACUUAUUGAUAAAAAAAUGUUAUGAAGACUUCAUCUAAAUGGUCAACGAAUUUUAAAGUAGUUUUCAAAAACUAAAGAAAAUUAGCUUUGUCGAUAAACAAAAUUUAGUAAAUCGUGAUAAAUUGAUAAUGGAUUGUGAGUGUAAUUUUUAUUCGGGUAGGUAAUCGGUUUUUAGGUGAAUUCAAAUUUCAGACAUUGUAAUCGAGGUUAAUUAGGUAUUUAAAAUGCUUAUUAUCUACUUAGGUAAUAUAUAUUAUCGCCUUAUUUUGUGAUUAUAGUAUUACUAUAUAACUCAAUUCAAUUUAUUUUAUUUUUUCCAAGUAGUUCUUGGAAAUAAGUUAACUAUCGCGUUUCAUAAUACAAAUUAUAAAUUUGGUUUGUCUUAGCUGUGGUUUUCGCAAGCCAAACAUAUAGUAAUUACUACAUAUCUAAAAUUUAGAUUUUAUUUUAUUAAAUAUAAUUUUUUUUAGGUACAACAAUAACAAAAUUAAGGAAGAAUAAGACUAUUGAACAAACAGAGUGGAACUGAUGUCACUACUUCAUACAAGUUACAACAAUCAUGUUCAAACAUUCAUAACACAGAUCAUAUCUACAAAAGAAAGCUUCCGGAUAAACAAGAAUACCAAUGCAUGAUAUUGACUAACAUGGACUACUCAAUAACGUAUUGUUCAGUGCAUACAUCUAUUCCAUUAGUUUCAGAAAGAUAAGAUCUACAAAAUUGAAUAAUAAUUUGGUCUUUGUUAAAGCAAUGAUGAUCAUGAGGAAUAAAGGACCGCUGUAUACAAAAGUAUUAUGAUAAGUAACAAUGAACGAACACCACAAGUGAUUAAAAAUGCUUUGCUGAAAUUUUGUAUCGAUGAUGAUCCAGAAAACUAUACUCUGUCUCACGUCUUACCUGAUAAAGAAAUGAUCUUGCCAAUGUCAGCCAAUGUUUACUAUGCAGUAAAUUCAGAAUAUGAUUUAAACUUUUUGCUACGUAAAAAAAUACAGGAAGAACCACAGUUCUCAAUAAAUGAGUAUAUUCUUAAAAUGAAAUUUUAAUAUAUUAUACAUAAUUAAGUUUAAUAUUUUAAUAUUUUAUGUAUAAAAAAGACAUUCAAUAAAAUAAAUAAA